rnacentral:snRNA from 1 species
UUAAACAUAAAAGUUUUUCGAUUAAAUUGAAUUGGAACAAUACAAAGAGGAUUAGCAUGGCACUUACGCAGGGAUGAUUUCAAGAAACGUUCUAAAAUUGC